UACGUAGGGUGCGAGCGUUAAUCGGAAUUACUGGGCGUAAAGCGUGCGCAGGCGGUUAUGUAAGACAGCGGUGAAAUCCCCGGGCUCAACCUGGGAACUGCCUUUGUGACUGCAUGACUAGAGAACGGCAGAGGGGGAUGGAAUUCCGCGUGUAGCAGUGAAAUGCGUAGAUAUGCGGAGGAACACCGAUGGCGAAGGCAAGCCCCUGGGCCUGUACUGGCGCCCAUGCACGAAAGCGUGGCGAGCAAACAGG
rnacentral:rRNA from 1 species